GAAACUCACUUAGAGUAAUGUCUAAGUAUCAUUAAGUGAAUACAUAGCUUAAUGAGGGGAACUCAGGGAACUGAAACAUCUAAGUACCUGAAGGAAGAGAAAGAAAUUCGAUUCCGUAAGUAGCGGCGAGCGAACGCGGAUUAGCCCAAACCAAUAAAGUUUUCUUUAUUGGGGUUGCGGACAUAUCAUAACGAAGAGGUAUCGUAAUUGAAGAGGUUUGGAAAGACCCACCACAGAAGGUAAUAGUCCUGUAUGUUAAACGAGAAGACUUCAGAUAUGAUCCAGAGUACCACGGGACACGUGAAACCCUGUGGGAAGCAGGAGGGACCACCCUCCAAGGCUAAAUACUACCUAGUGACCGAUAGCGUAUAGUACCGUGAGGGAAAGGUGAAAAGAACCCCGGGAGGGGAGUGAAAUAGAACCUGAAACCCUGCACUUACAAGCUGUGGAAGCACAUUUCUUGUGUGACCGCGUACUUUUUGUAGAACGGGCCAACGAGUUACGUUAAGUAGCAAGGUUAAGCACUUAAGGUGUGGAGCCGUAGCGAAAGCGAGUUUUAACUGAGCGUUCAGUUACUUGACGUAGACCCGAAACCGGGCGACCUACCCAUGAGCAGGAUGAAGCGAAAGUAAAAUUUCGUGGAGGUCCGAACCCACGAGCGUUGAAAAGCUCGGGGAUGACUUGUGGGUAGCGGUGAAAUUCCAAUCGAGCCCGGAGAUAGCUGGUUCUCCCCGAAAUAGCUUUAGGGCUAGCCUCAAGGUGAGAGAUACGGAGGUAGAGCACUGAAUGUCCUAGGGGGUAUUGCACCUACCGAAGACUAUCAAACUCCGAAUGCCGUCAUCUUAUACUUGGGAGUCAGACUGUGGGUGAUAAGAUUCAUAGUCGAAAGGGCAACAGCCCAGAUCGUCAGCUAAGGUCCCUAAAUGUAAGUUAAGUGGUAAAGGAUGUGGGAUUGCACAGACAACCAGGAUGUUGGCUUAGAAGCAGCCACUCAUUCAAAGAGUGCGUAAUAGCUCACUGGUCGAGUGAUCCUGCGCCGAAGAUUUCCGGGGCUAAAACUUACUACCGAAGCUACGGCAUCAGUAAUGAUGGGUAGGGGAGCUUCCCAUACGGGUUGAAGCAUGACCGUAAGGACAUGUGGACAGUAUGGGAGUGAGAAUGUUGGCAUGAGUAGCGAGAUGUGGGUGAGAAUCCCACAGGCCGUAAACCCAAGGUUUCCAGGGGAAGGUUCGUCCGCCCUGGGUUAGUCGGGACCUAAGCUGAGGCCGAAAGGCGUAGGUGAUGGACAACAGGUUGAUAUUCCUGUACUACCGAUAACCGUUUGAGAGAAGGGAUGACACAGUAGGAUAAGCUAAGCACACUGUUGGUUAUGUGUGCCCAAGCAUUGAGGCAGUCAAAGUAGGCAAAUCCGCUUUGAUAAUGCUGGGAUGUGAUGGGGAGCGAAAUUUAGUAGCGAAGUAGCUGAUUUCACACUGUCAAGAAAAGUCUCUAUCGAGGUUAAAGGUACCCGUACCGCAAACCGACACAGGUGGGUGAGGAGAGUAUCCUAAGGCCAGCGAGAGAACUGUUGUUAAGGAACUCGGCAAAAUGACCCCGUAACUUAGGGAUAAGGGGUGCCACCAUCAGGUGGCCGCAGAGAAUAGGCCCAAGCGACUGUUUACCAAAAACAUAGGUUUCUGCUAAGUCGCAAGACGAUGUAUAGGAGCUGACGCCUGCCCGGUGCUGGAAGGUUAAGGGGAUCUGUUAGAGCAAUCGAAGCAGUGAACUUAAGCCCCAGUAAACGGCGGCCGUAACUAUAACGGUCCUAAGGUAGCGAAAUUCCUUGUCGGGUAAGUUCCGACCCGCACGAAAGGCGUAACGAUUUGGGCACUGUCUCAACAACAGACUCGGUGAAAUUGUAAUUCCGGUGAAGAUGCCGGAUACCUGCGACAGGACGGAAAGACCCCAUGGAGCUU
rnacentral:rRNA from 1 species